AAAAGUAAGGAUGCCAGACAAGCCUGUAAAAUUUGGUAGAUUGAAGAGAGAAACAACAGCGGCUUGAUUUCCAAGUAAUGACUACGUGCUGCAGGUGAAGAGGCAUGUCCAGACUUUUUAAACUUUGAUUACUUAAACUUAGAAAGGAGGGAGCAACAGUAUUUUAAAUGGCACAUAAUAGCCACAAAGAAGCAACCAUCAUAAGAUACAAAGAAUUGAUGUCUUGCCCACGGCGAAGACGCCAAAAAGGAACCCUGAAAAUGCUGUGAAGUGUUUCUUGAAAGACUUUCUACUGCAUGUACAUCAAAGAGAGAAACAACAAGCGCUUUUGGAAAGGAGGGAGCAAUAGGAUUUUAAAUGCCACAUAACAGCAACAAAAAAUCGACCAUCAUAAGAUAUUAAGAAUGGAUGUCUUGUACACUGUGAAGACGACAAAAAGGAGCCUGAAAAUGCUGCGAAGUGGUCCUUGUAAGACAUUCUACUGCCUGUAAUUCGGAGGGAGAAACGGUAGCAGCUUGAUCUCUAAGUACUGAUUAUGUCCCGAGACCAAGAAGAACCCGGGAAUUGGACACUACAGCAAGAAGAACGACUGGAGCCUUGAUGACUGGGUCGAAAACAGUUGUCUUUUCCAAAGGAGACAUAAGUAUUUAGAGGGUACAAGAGUCUAGAGGUUCAUGAAAUAGGUCUUAUCAAAGCAUCUUAUAGUAGUAACACAAAUCUAGUGCAUAGUAUCAUUUGUGUCCACAUUAUCGUACUAACGAUUUUGAGGCAUAUUUGUAAAAGUUACAUAUUAUAUUAAAUAUUAUAUACCAUAUGGUUGUGUUUUUUUAAUAUAACUAUAAUUAUAAUUUAAUUAGAUUUCUUCUUAUAUCAAUUCAUUUACUCAAGAUGAAUGUAAUUCAGAUAAGCAUAAAUUAUAUUGAACACGUGAACAUUCUUUAAGAUUAAGAAAGAAAGCUUAUUUAUGCUGACAUUGAAUGAAAGUUGUUUUAGUGAUUACAGUAAUUCUACAUUGCCAAAAGUGACAAAAUAAAGCAAAGUUUCUUAUAUUUUUUGGCCAGUCAGUCAUCUGCUAAUGGCCUUUUCUAAAGAUUUAUUUUAUUCUUCCAAGCACUUCAAUGUCCAUUAUAACCAUUCUUUAAUUUUGAAAUUGCAGCCAGCACAUUUGUCAGUGCCUCAGAGGGCUCCACUGAAAGUAGAAUAUUUCAUGUAGGCAAAGUGGGACAAAGACGAGCUGGCUGCAAAGAGGAAGGAUUGUCAGUUGGUUCCAGCAACCAGAAACGACCCAAAAAGAACACUAUCCAACGCCCUAUUCAAUUCAGCGAAGAGGCAAAAUUCACUGCUGAAUUUAACGUUUGUAAAGAAUCUUGGAUGGAUAAACCAUCGCCGUGACAGGCAACCCCCCACCACAGCCUUCAUUAGACACAAAAACCUCAAGGACACAGGUCCACACCAAGUUCACAUCCACGACACACACUUCAUAGCAUAGGAACCCUACACAACACAUCACCACUUUCACCACAUUUCAUACCUCUCACCUCACACCAACACCACCAAAUCUAACCAAAGAAUGAGUCAAGCAAGAUGUACACAAACCGAAGCCAAAUGCCAUAUCUACUCCAAGCCAGCCAAUAAUAGAGGAAAAUAUACUACUUUUAAGACUCAAUUACCGAAGAACAGCCUUUCUACAGAAAUACAACUGAUAUAUAACUGAUAAAACUCACAAGCCAGUCAUCUCCAACCAAAGAUCUACCGGCCUCAAUAGAACUGACAAAGGCCUUCUUGCAGUCUCCUAUGCAACAUAACAUUGUCUACAACAUUAAAAACAGCCCUUCUAGAGAAACAUAUAUCCGAUCUAUUGACUACAAGCCAGCCAUCCCCAACCAGCAGUCUCCUACGCAACACAACAUUAUCUACACCAGUAAAAACAGCCCUUCUAGAGAAACAUAUAUCCGAUCCAUUGACUACAAGCCAGCCAUCUCCAACCAGCAGUCUCCACAGGACUCCUACGCAACACAACAUUAUCUACAACAGUAAAAACAUCCCUUCUAGAGAAACAUACACUGGAUCCAUCAACUACAAGCCAGCCAUCUCCAACCAGCAGUCUCCACAG